UGUCCGGCGGCUCGGCAACAGAGCUGCCGCGGGGGGAACGCGGACCUCUCUUUCCCGAGCCGAGGGUGGGCUGAGGCCGCCACCAGGCAAGUUCGCCCCAGGAGCGGGCGCCGCGGGCCGAGAUGCUCCUCCGGGACUUGGUGCUGCGCCGUGGCUGCUGCUGGUCCUCGCUGCUGCUGCACUGCGCGCUACACCCGCUCUGGGGCUUCGUGCAGGUGACACAUGGUGAGCCCCAGAAGUCCUGCUCCAAGGUGACCGACAGCUGCCGACACGUCUGCCAGUGCCGGCCCCCUCCCCCGCUGCCCCCGCCGCCCCCGCCCCCACCG